UGGUUUAACAGGUGGGCUAUAAGUUGCUGUUGGAGGUUGUUGCACUGGUGGUGGCUUUAUAGGUGGGCUAUAAGUUGGUGUUGGAGGUUUUACUGGGGGAGGUUUAAUAGGUGGACUGUAGGUUGGUGUUGGAGGCUUCUGCACUGGUGGUGGCUUUACCGGAGGACUAUAAGUGGGAGUUGGAGGCUUUUGCACAGGUGGUGGUUUGAUAGGAGGGCUAUAAGUUGGUGUUGGAGGUUUUUGCACGGGUGGUGGUUUGAUAGGAGGACUGUAAGUUGGAGUUGGAGGCUUUUGCACGGGUGGUGGUUUAACAGGUGGACUAUAAGUGGGUGUUGGAGGUUUCUGCACCGGUGGUGGUUUUACAGGAGGACUAUAAGAUGGUGUCGGAGGUUGUUGCACUGGUGGUGACUUUACGGGAGGACUAUAAAUAGGUGUUGGAGGCUUCACUGGUGGUGGUUUAACUGGUGGACUGUAGGUCGGUGUUGGAGGCUUCUGCACUGGUGGUGGCUUUAUCGGAGGACUAUAAGUGGGAGUUGGAGGCUUUUGCACUGGUGGUGGUUUGAUAGGAGGGCUAUAAGUUGGUGUUGGAGGUUUUUGCACGGGUGGUGGUUUGAUAGGAGGACUGUAAGUUGGUGUGGGAGGCUUCUGGACGGGUGGUGGUUUAACAGGUGGACUAUAAGUGGGCGUAGGAGGCUUUUGCACUGGCGGUGGUUUUACAGGAGGACUAUAAGUUGGUGUCGGAGGUUUUACCGGAGGUGGUUUAACUGGUGGGCUGUAAGUUGGUGUUGGAGGCUUUUGCACGGGUGGUGGUUUAACUGGCGGACUGUAAAUUGGUGUUGGAGGUUUCACUGGAGGUGGUUUAAUAGGUGGACUAUAUGUUGGAGUCGGAGGUUGUUGUACUGGUGGUGGUUUUAUUGGAGGACUAAAAGUAGGUGUUGGAGGCUUCACUGGAGGUGGUUUAACUGGAGGACUAUAAGUUGGUGUUGGAGGCUUUUGCACUGGUGGUGGUUUAACAGGUGGACUAUAAAUUGGUGUCGGUGGUUUUUGAAUGGGAGGUGGCUUGACUGGAGGACUGUAAAUUGGAGUUGGAGGCUUUACUGGAGGUGGUUUAAUAGGUGGACUAUAGGUUGGUGUGGGAGGUUGUUGCACUGGUGGUGGUUUUACAGGAGGACUAUAAGUAGGUGUUGGAGGUUUCACCGGUGGUGGUUUAACUGGAGGACUAUAGGUCGGUGUUGGAGGCUUUUGUACUGGUGGUGGUUUUAUGGGAGGACUAUAAGUAGGUGUUGGAGGUUUUUCAACUGGUGGUGGUUUGAUAGGAGGAGGCUUUUGCACAGGUGGAGGUUUGAUAGGAGGACUGUAAAAUGGUGUGGGAGGCUUUUGGACUGGCGGUGGUUUGAUAUGAGGAGGCUUUUGCACGGGCGGUGGUUUGAUAUGAGGAGGCUUUUGCACGGGUGGUGGUUUGAUAGGAGGACUGUAAGUUGGCGUUGGCGGCUUUUGCACUGGUGGUGGUUUUACAGGAGGACUAUAAGUAGGUGUUGGAGGUUUCACAGGUGGUGGUUUAACUGGUGGACUAUAAGUAGGUGUUGGAGGUUUUUGCACAGGUGGUGGUUUGACAGGCGGACUGUAAGUUGGCGUCGGAGGUUUCACUGGAGGUGGUUUAACAGGUGGACUAUAGGUUGGUGUCGGAGGUUGUUGUACUGGUGGUGGUUUUAUGGGAGGACUAUAAAUAGGUGUUGGAGGUUUCACCGGGGGUGGUUUAACUGGUGGACUAUAAAUAGGUGUUGGAGGCUUUUGCACUGGUGGUGGUUUAAUAGGUGGACUAUAAAUUGGUGUUGGUGGUUUUUGGACGGGAGGUGGCUUGACUGG
rnacentral:lncRNA from 1 species